GCUCCCCUACAGACGUCCUGACAGCACAGCCAUGGCCAUGGACUGGAGCUGGAGAGUCCUCUUCCUGGUGGCAGUGGCUACAGGUGUCCACUCCGAGGUCCAGCUGGUGCAGCCUGGGGCUGAGGUGAGGAAGUCCGGGGCCUCAGUGAAGGUGUCCUGCAAGGCUUCCGGAUACACCUUCACUGGCUACUACAUGAGCUGGGUGCGACAGGCCCCAGGACAAGGGCUUGAGUGGAUGGGACGAAUAGACCCUAGCGAUAGUUACACAAACUAUGCACAGAAGUUCCAGGGCAGAGUCACCAUGACCGCAGACAAGUCCACCAGCAAAGCCUACAUGGAGCUGAGCAGUCUGAGACCUGAGGAUACGGCCAUGUAUUACUGUGCGAGAGACACAUUGUGAUGAGCCACAUCCUGAGAGUGUCAGAAACCCUGAGGGAGAGGACAGCUGUGCGGGGCUGAGGAGGUGAUAGGGGCAGCUGGGCACAGCCUUUUUUUGACUCAGGGAUAUAAAUAUAGAGGCAAAGGAAAUGCUUUCGUUAAUUAUGUACGAAAUAUUUUUAGUUCUGUGCUGGCAAAGCAACUCCCAGGAGGAGAAAAUAUAACUGUUGGGAGCCAUGCAGGCUGGCUUAGCUGAAGCAUAACUUGUUUUGCUUCUUGUUUUGCUCCUUUCUGCACCUGGAGGGUGCUUACUUAACCUUGAGGUAUGUGGUGAGAAUGGCCAGUUCCUUGGAAGACACAAUAAGAUAGAGGGCUAUCUGGGUUUAUGGAAGAAAGUGUCCUGGGAAACUGACCCUCUAAGUUUUCCACUGACCUUCAAGUUUCUAGUAGAUAGCUAAUGAUGUACUUUUGAAUGAGGUAAUGCAUAUUUGUCCCUUCUGUUUUGCACAUACACUGGAUGUAUAUAAUGAUGAUGGGAAAUAAAC